rnacentral:rRNA from 1 species
GACGAACGCUGGCGGCGUGCCUAAUACAUGCAAGUCGAACGCAGUGGGGACGGGUGAGUAACACGUGGGUAACCUCCCAUCAGAGGGGAUAACACUUGGAAACAGGUGCUAAACCGAUACUGAUGGAUGGACCCGCGGUGCAUUAGCUAGUUGGUGAGGUAAAGGCUCAACAAGGCCACGAUGCAUAGCCGACCUGAGAGGGUGAUGGGCCCAACUGGGACUGGGAACGGGCCCAAACUCCUACGGUGGGCAGAGGUAGGGAAACUUCGGGAAUGGACGAAAGUUUGACCGGGCAACGCCGCGGGGGGGAAAGAGGUUUUCGGUUCGUAAAACUCUGUUUUUUGGGAAACGGUAUCUAACCAGAAAGCCACGGCUAACUACGUGCCAGCAGCCGCGGUAAUUC